AUGACGUCAAGUCCUCAUUGGCCUUUAUGUCCAGGGCUACACACGUGCUACAAUGGGCGGAACAAAGGGUUGCAAUACCGCAAGGUGGAGCUAAUCUCAAAAAACCGCUCUCAGUUCAGAUUGGAGUCUGCAACUCGACUCCAUGAAGGCGGAAUCGCUAGUAAUACGCGGAUCAGCAUGCCGCGGUGAAUACGUUCCCGGGCCUU
rnacentral:rRNA from 1 species